AUGUAAAUUCCUAAAAAAUAACGUUAAUGAACUGGAUCCCAUUAGAACUCUACAGUUAAGCGUGCUUGGGCUAGAGUAGUAUUGGGAUGGAUGACCGCCCAGGAAGUCCUAGUAUUUUACAUG
rnacentral:rRNA from 1 species